rnacentral:rRNA from 1 species
CGGACGGGUGAGUAACGCGUGGAAAACCUGCCGUAUACUGGGGGAUAACACUUAGAAAUAGGUGCUAAUACCGCAUAAGCGCACAGCUUCGCAUGAAGUGGUGUGAAAAACUCUGGUGGUAUACGAUGGUUCCGCGUCUGAUUAGCUUGUUGGUGGGGGUAAUGGCUCACCAAGGCGACGAUCAGUAGCCGGCCUGAGAGGGUGAACGGCCACAUUGGGACUGAGACACGGCCCAAACUCCUACGGAAGGCAGCAG